CCUACGGGUGUCAGCAGUGGGGGAUAUUGCACAAUGGGGGAAACCCUGAUGCAGCGACGCCGCGUGGGCGAAGAAGUAUUUCGGUAUGUAAAGCCCUAUCAGCAGGGAAGAAGAAAUGACGGUACCUGAGUAAGAAGCACCGGCUAAAUACGUGCCAGCAGCUGCGGUAAUACGUAUGGUGCAAGCGUUAUCCGGAUUUACUGGGUGUAAAGGGAGCGCAGGCGGUACGGCAAGCCUGAUGUGAAAGCCCGCGGCCCAACCGCGGGACUGCAGUGGGAACUACCGGGCGUGAGUGCCGGAGAGGUAGGCGGAAUUCGUGGUGUAGCGGUGAAAUGCGUAGAUAUUAGGAAGAACACCAGUGGCGAAGGCGGCUUGCUGGACGGUAACUGACGUUGAGGCUCGAAAGCGUGGGGAGCAAACAGGAUUAGAUACCCUUGUAGUC
rnacentral:rRNA from 1 species